CUAAGCAAAGUCUUUUAUCUCGAUUUAUUUCGGUUUUCGGUUAUUCGGCGGCCGCUUAUGCCGCUAAUUUUCCUCCGUUGGCUCCUCGUAUUUUCUUAAUGAUAUCGAAAUAAAAUCCCCAAAAUUAUUAAAGUAUGUAAUUAAAUUAACGCAACCACUUUCCCUCGAACUAUAUUUAUUUCGGACUUAGGAUAUAAUUAUUCAUUCGUAGAACUAUUCCGGAAUUAAUUAAAUAAUUCCCCACAAUUAAUUUAAUUUUUACUCAAAAAAAUUAAUUAGUUAUUAGCCCAAAGAUUUAAAUGGAUCCCAUAGAUUUAAUACAUCCUCCCAUUUAAAAGAUGAGGCCCAACUUAAAUAAAACAAAAGCCCAAUUUAUUAAAUCAAGGCCCACAUUAUUUCUUAAAAAAAAAAGCCCAAGAACCCAAAUUCCUUCCUUCACUCACGUUUCCUUCUUCCUCUCUCUCUAUCUCUCUUCUUCUCUCACUCUCGACCAAAUCGGAAGAAAUCCUCCAUCCGUUCGUCGCCUGCUCCGAUUCACUCCACGCCGUCGGCCGCUGCUCACCGGGAAGACAAAUUGCGGCUGCCACGGUGUCGUCGGAGCGGGGGAAAUCCGGCCGUCGAUCCGUCAGACAACCGCUGCUGUCGCGUCGCUGCUCCGUCGCCGCCAAAUCCGUCUGCCGUCGCUGCUGCUGCCGUCGCUGCUGGGAGGUGUCGCCGGGUCAGGCUGCUGCUGCCGCCGCUCCGUCGGUGGUCGUGCAGCCCCGAAACCACCCCGAAACAGACCCGAUUCCCUCCGAACAGCCCCAAAACAUCCCGGAACCAACCCGUUCAGCCCCGCAAGACCCCGAUGAUUACGGAGGAUGAAUAUCUCAUUACGGAGGAUGAAGAUAUCUGUAGGAUCUUUAUUUAGUAAUUGAAUUAAUAUCAAGGAGAAUCUUUAAUUCACGGUCCAUUGUAUUUUAUUUUAAAUUGUGUAGUACAUAAUUUAUUUAUCACGGACUGGACCUUUAUAUUAUUGUCCAAUUAUUCGAUCCAGUACGCAAAUUGAGUUCAAUAAAUAUAUUCCUCACGGAAAGGAAUUAUUUAAA